rnacentral:lncRNA from 1 species
AUUUUGGGGAGUGCAUCGGUAGGGGGUGUGCCGGAGACAGAAGCUAGUGCCUUCCUCUAAGCAAGGACUAUACCACCGAACAUCACAGUGAGCCACACUGACCCCCCUUCAAUGGUUUUCUGAGACAAUCUUGGAAGGCAAACAGAGGUAAUAUCACAUGCCUGGAUGGAUGCGGAGAACGUCUGAAGGCUGCCCUACGGAGUUGGAAAUGCUAAGGAUGGAGUUUAUCUUCAACUCCAGGCCUUGUGACAUGGCAACAUGACUACGUGCUUGUAUCUGUCAUCUGGAAAGAACCGAGCUGCUGCCCUGCAUACCAUGACCGAGGCAUCCGGAACCUCAUAGCAACCCUUCUCCUCACUGUGUAUUUUGAGAAUCCAAAUAACACGAACUCCAGUGCUGUCUUUCGUGAUUUAAAACACAAAGGACAACUCAUGAACGUGACUCAGGCUUUAUAAACGAAAAAAGAAAUCAUAGAUGCCUAGCUAACGGCCGUGGUAACCUCUCUGGGCUUCUGUUUUAGAAGUAAAGCCAAUCUAUGAUGAAGUUUCAUAAGUCAAGUGCUUACUAUAAAGCUGAACAUAGCUUUUCAAUGAGUGUUUGCCAUUUAAAAUUCUGCUAGAGGGCUGGAGAGAUAGCUAAUCAAGUCAAGAGCACUGGCUGAUCUUUCACAGGACCCAAGUUCGAUUCCCAGGACCCAAGUUUGAUUCCCAGAACCUGUUGGCAGUUUACAAUCACCAAUAACUCCAGUCCCAGGGGAUUCAACACUCUCUUCUGGCCUCUGCAGGCACCAGGAAUUAAUGCAGUAUACAGACAUGCAUGCGGACAGACAUCCAUAUACAUAAAAUAAACAAAUUUUAAAAAAUUCCCUGAGAAAAUAUGUGUAAGAAGUUUAUUUUCCUAGUCCUCACUUAACUGUGUUAAUAUAUCUGAAUUUGGAUAAAGAGUUAUAUAGAUUUGAGGCUGGAGAGAUGGCUCAGUGGUUAAGAAUUGCUCUUGCAGAGGACCUGG